rnacentral:rRNA from 1 species
GACGAACGCUGGCGGCGUGCUUAACACAUGCAAGUCGAACGGAAAGGCCCUGCUUGCAGGGUACUCGAGUGGCGAACGGGUGAGUAACACGUGGGUGAUCUGCCCUGCACUUCGGGAUAAGCCUGGGAAACUGGGUCUAAUACCGGAUAGGAGCCAUUUUUAGUGUGAUGGUUGGAAAGUUUUUUCGGUGUAGGAUGAGCUCGCGGCCUAUCAGCUUGUUGGUGGGGUAAUGGCCUACCAAGGCGGCGACGGGUAGCCGGCCUGAGAGGGUGGACGGCCACAUUGGGACUGAGAUACGGCCCAGACUCCUACGGGAGGAAGCAGGGGGGAAUAUUGCACAAUGGGCGCAAGCCUGAUGCAGCGACGCCGCGGGGGGGAGGACGGCCUUCGGGUUGUAAACUCCUUUCGCUAGGGACGAAGCUUUUUGUGACGGUACCUAGAGAAGAAGCACCGGCUAACUACGUG